rnacentral:rRNA from 1 species
CACAUGAUAACUGCCCUAAGGAAGGGGAUAACCCCGGGAAACUGGGGAUAAUACCCUAUAGGUUACAGAUGCUGGAAUGCUCUGUAACUCAAAGCUCCGGCGCCUUAGGAUGGAUCUGCGGCCGAUUAGGUUGUUGUUGGGGUAACGGCCCAACAAGCCCGUAAUCGGUACGGGUUGUGGGAGCAAGAGCCCGGAGUUGGAUUCUGAGACACGAAUCCAGGCCCUACGGGGCGCAGCAGGCGCGAAAACUUUACAAUGCGGGCAACCGUGAUAAGGGAACCUCGAGUGCCUGUAUAUGCAGGCUGUCCAGGUGUCUAAAAAACACCUGAAGAAAGGGCCGGGCAAGACCGGUGCCAGCCGCCGCGGUAAUACCGGCGGCUCGAGUGGUGGCCACUUUUAUUGGGCUUAAAGCGUUCGUAGCUGGGUUGUUAAGUCUCUUGGGAAAUCCGGCGGCUCAACCGUCGGGCGUCUAAGAGAUACUGGCAGUCUUGGAACCGGGAGAGGUGAGGGGUACUUCGGGGGUAGGAGUGAAAUCCUGUAAUCCUCGAGGGACCACCUGUGGCGAAGGCGCCUCACCAGAACGGCUUCGACAGUGAGGGACGAAAGCUGGGGGAGCAAACCGGAUUAGAUACCCGGGUAGUCCCAGCCGUAAACGAUGCGCGUUAGGUGUAUCGACGACCACGAGUCGUCGAGGUGCCGAAGGGAAACCGUGAAACGUGCCGCCUGGGAAGUACGGUCGCAAGGCUGAAACUUAAAGGAAUUGGCGGGGGAGCACCACAACAGGUGGAGCCUGCGGUUUAAUUGGACUCAACGCCGGGAAUCUCACCGGAUAGGACAGCAGAAUGAUUGCCGGGCUGAAGACUCUGCAUGACUAGCUGAGAGGUGG